rnacentral:tRNA from 1 species
GGGGCGUUAGCUAAGCUGGUUAGAGCCCCAAACUCAUAAUUUGGUCGUCGUCGGUUCGAGUCCGUCACGCCCCA